rnacentral:rRNA from 1 species
GACGAACCGUGCGAACGUUGUUCGGAAUCACUGGGCUUAAAGGGCGCGUAGGCGGGCGCACAAGUCAGGGGUGAAAGCCCACGGCUCAACCGUGGAAGAGCCUUUGAUACUGUGUGUCUGGAGGGAGGUAGGGGCGUGCGGAACUUCCGGUGGAGCGGUGAAAUGCGUAGAUAUCGGAAGGAACACCGGUGGCGAAAGCGGCGCGCUGGACCUCUUCUGACGCUGAGGCGCGAAAGCCAGGGGAGCAAACGGG